rnacentral:rRNA from 1 species
GAUGAACGCUGGCGGCGUGCCUAAUACAUGCAAGUCGAGCGAACGGACGAGAAGCUUGCUUCUCUGAUGUUAGCGGCGGACGGGUGAGUAACACGUGGAUAACCUACCUAUAAGACUGGGAUAACUUCGGGAAACCGGAGCUAAUACCGGAUAAUAUUUUGAACCGCAUGGUUCAAAAGUGAAAGACGGUCUUGCUGUCACUUAUAGAUGGAUCCGCGCUGCAUUAGCUAGUUGGUAAGGUAACGGCUUACCAAGGCGACGAUGCAUAGCCGACCUGAGAGGGUGAUCGGCCACACUGGAACUGAGACACCGUCCAGACUCCUAAGGGAGGCAGCAGUAGGGAAUCUUCCGCAAUGGGCGAAAGCCUGGCGGAGCAACGCCGCGUGAGUGAUGAAGGUCUUCGGAUCGUAAAACUCUGUUACUAGGGAAGAACAGAUGUGUAAGUAGCUGUGCACAUCUUGACGGUACCUAAUCAGAAAGCAACGGCUAACUACGUG